rnacentral:rRNA from 1 species
GAUGAACGCUGGCGGCGUGCCUAAUACAUGCAAGUCGAGCGAACAGACGAGGAGCUUGCUCCUCUGACGUUAGCGGCGGACGGGUGAGUAACACGUGGAUAACCUACCUAUAAGACUGGGAUAACUUCGGGAAACCGGAGCUAAUACCGGAUAACAUGUUGAACCGCAUGGUUCAACAGUGAAAGACGGUUUUGCUGUCACUUAGAGAUGGAUCCGCGUCGCAUUAGCUAGUUGGUAAGGUAACGGCUUACCAAGGCAACGAUGCGUAGCCGACCUGAGAGGGUGAUCGGCCACACUGGAACUGAGACACGGUCCAGACUCCUACGGGAGGCAGCAGUAGGGAAUCUUCCGCAAUGGGCGAAAGCCUGACGGAGCAACGCCGCGUGAGUGAAGAAGGUCUUCGGAUCGUAAAACUCUGUUAUUAGGGAAGAACAAAUGUGUAAGUAACUAUGCACGUCUUGACGGUACCUAAUCAGAAAGCCACGGCUAACUACGUG